UACAGAGGUCCCAAGCGUUGUUCGGAUUCACUGGGCGUAAAGGGUGCGUAGGCGGUCGGGUAAGUCUGGCGUGAAAUCUCCAAGCCUAACUUGGAAACUGCGUUGGAUACUAUCCGGCUCGAGGAAUGGAGGGGAGACUGGAAUACUUGGUGUAGCAGUGAAAUGCGUAGAUAUCAAGUGGAACACCAGUGGCGAAGGCGGCGACCUGGACGGACACUGACGCUGAGACGCGAAAGCGUGGGGAGCAAACAGG
rnacentral:rRNA from 1 species